GUACAUAGCAGCAAAAAAAACUGUUAAAGCCCUCUCUCUCUCACAAACAGCAUAUUAUGCUCUUUCUAUACAUAAAUGCAAACACAAAAACCUGUACCACGUCCAAUCCACGCCAAAUCAAGUUAACAACAAAAGCGGCUUUUGUUAGGGGAAGAUAGCGAGAUAAUCUGAACCAGAGCCAAGUUUUAUGGGGGCUCAUCAUCAUCAUCAUCUUCACCACCGCACAGGUAUCAAAAGAAAGAAGACGAGUUCUUUAGUUGAAGGAAUGGGACUCUGAAAAGGUGUAAUUCUGUGCUAUGUAUGCUGAGAAGAAGAAGAACUUGCAUCUUCCCUCGUGUAAAAAUCACUAUUGCGAAAUCCUUAUGGAAGUGGUCUAGACGAAUCACUUGGAUUUAUGUAACAUGAAGGCGAUACGUAUCUAUCCAGAUGCCAUGCCAGCCAGCUAGAGGAGGAUGCGUAUGGAUAGUUAAGUGCUAUCUACUCGAACCAAUUAUCCAGAUAGAUAGAUGAGAAUUCCAAAUUGGUCAAACCAAUGAAUUCCAGAUUAUUAUGACACCUCUCAGGUUGGAUCGAUGUUGGCGUGGCGUACUAUUCCCUGCCAUCACGUCUGAUUGAUGUAUAAAGUCGAGAAAGGGGGAUGAAUAAUCUUCUUUCCCUCCUCGAUAAAGAAAUCACCUUAGCUCGCGGAUAAAAAAUAAGUCAAAGUCCUGGUGGCGCUUGCAUGUUGUAAAGUUUGAUCACUUCUUGGACGCGUGGUGUGAGUCCAUUUUUUUGCGUGGUAUGGAUCUAAUACGCCACCGUGUAUAUGUACAAAUUAAGAUAUACGUAUGGCGUAUAGACAUCUACCUAAAAUAUGUAGGAUGACGAUACACGCUAUUAUUUUGAUUCAUUCCGCAUUAUCAAGAAACUGUGAAAGAGUUGUCGUUAUGCUCGCAGUUAUUCAGCUCAGGCGACAUUUGACAGUUAUUUGUGCUGCAAGAAAAUGAAGGCCAGCCACGCCAAGCUGCACACUUUCUUACAGACAAAGUUGCCCUUAAUGAGACGAGGAUGUGAUGCGAUUUAAUUAACUUUUUGUUAUUAAAAGUUAAUGCACAUUCAUUUCAUACCGUGCCGCGUGCAGAUUAUCUGGCUAACUAAUCUAACUAAGUGACUGAGCCAGGACGGAAAACACUCAACUUUUUUGCUCAACUCAAGGUUUGCUUUCUUACUAUGCUACAAAUACGUCAAGGUGGCUGGAUGGAUUAAGCAAGGUUGUAAAUUCCCGUCCGGAGGUUGUGUAAUAAUAAGUCUUAAGGCAAUACAGCAAUAAAAAUAAAAGUACUCAAGAAUAUAUGCGAGGCGAGCUAACCAGGAAUUAGGCAAAAUUGGAAGAAAAUGUUAAUAACAAAGUCUCCAAUAAUUACUUGAAUCACGCCAAUAAUUAUUUUUAUUUUGCAAUUCCACGCAAUAAUUGUGCAUAUCUACUGAAAUUAAACAAUGAAUUUUUUUUACUGACCUUUACUUUACUGCACCCACCAACGCUUGAUCACAAAACUGAAGACAAUGUGUAGUUUUGCUGUGUCAGAAAAGAGAGACUGGAAGAACAUUGCUCCAAGCUGAACAAACUUUUCAGACAUGAACUCCGUGAGGACGAGAAGAUUGAUUAAACGCAGUAAACAACCUCUUGUACGCUAUUUCCAGAAUGAUAUUUCCCAUAACAAAUGACCUGUUCCUGAGCAUUGUCCAAUCAGAAUAAACUAAAGGAAACUAUUUCUCAUUAAGUUAUUUACUACGUACAUGGCACACAACUCAUCACGGCAGGGAUGAGAGAUCAAAGAGGAGGUUUGUAAAUACAGGGGAGGAGAGACGUUGACGUUAUACUGGAAAUCCUUGAAAUCUGGACUUGCACUUGAGCGAGCGAGAGAAUAGAAUAACAAAAGGAGAUGACGUGUCCUCCUCCUCAUUCUUCUCGUCUCAUCGCAUUUCAAGCUGUUCCAGUAAUCUGUACUAAAUUCAUAACCAUUUAGAAAAUAAACUGCUGUUUUUUUUAAAGCAA